GCCCUUGUGCUGCGGUCUCUUGUCUUUCGCCGCGAUGGGUAUUCCCAAGCUCUUGCUCUCUCACCUCCGCCGUUCUCGUGCCGUCUCCUCUCUAAACUCUCUCUCUCGUGCCUAUGUUUCUCACUUCCUUAUAAACCCUACCCCGCUCCUCUCGCAAGCUCCAAUUCCCUCUCAUAAUCCCCGCGGGCCUCACUACGCGAACGCAUUCACUUCUUUUCAUUUGUUUAACAAUCGAUCCUUCUCGACUCGAUCAGAUGACGACUUGGAGUUUUUCGCCGACUCAGUUACCAUGUCUGGCGUCGAGUCAAAGCCUCCAGAAUUUGCAGUUAAUGAGGUUGCCGAAGCUGUAGUUAAGGGUAGCACUGGCGGCGAGGAGUCGAUUCUUCCUGUUCGAGCAUUGAUUUCGUUGCUUGAUGGGUUUCAUGAUCUCACUGGCUUGCCUUGGUGGAUAGUUAUUAUUACAGCCACAGUAUCUAUGCGAGUUUUGUUGUUCCCUUUACUUGUUCUGCAACUUAACAAGUUGAAGCGGAUAUCGGAGUUACUUCCAAAAUUGCCUCCUCCAUUUCCACCACUCCUGUCAGGAAAGAGCUACAUAGAUCAAAUUUCACUAUUUCGGAAGGAAAAAAGGGCACUUGGCUGCCCCUCAUUUUUAUGGUUUAUUGCAUAUGUCUCUGUCCAGGUGCCAUGCUUUCUUUUGUGGAUGACCAGUAUUCGACGAAUGUCUUUGGAUCAUCAUCCUGGCUUUGACUGCGGUGGUACUCUAUGGUUUUGGAAUUUGACUGAAUUACCUCAUGGUGUUUUAAGUCCAAUCUUUCCGCUGCUGAUUGCUACUUUGCACUACAUUAAUGUUCAGCUUUCUUUUGAGAAAUUUUCUGUUCAGAAAACAGGCGGAUUAUUGGGCUUACUGGCAAAAUACUACAAGAAGUAUUUGGAUUUUCUAUCACUGCCUCUGGGUUUCAUCAGCUUCUGCAUUCCUCAGGGAAGUCUGGUCUAUUGGGUCACCAAUAGUUCAUUAAGUGUUAUCCAGCAAUUAUCCCUCAAACAUCCCACCGUACGUGCAAAGUUGGGGUUACCAGUCAAGGAAUCUCAGGCAGAGGCAGAAGCAGAAGAGUCUACAGAAUUGGGUAUGUUAGAAAGGACUUCUUCCAAUUCACCAAGCAAACAGGGCAAAAUUUCAGUGGAAAAUUUAAGCCCCAAGAAACUGCUUGCUCUCUCAGUCCAACUUGUAUCUGAUGGUCAUAGAGAAAGAGCAAUUCCUUUGUUACAGCUGGCAAUUCAGAAGGACCCUAACUACAUUGAACCCCUGCUUGUUUUGGGGCAGACUAUGCUGCAAAAAGAAAUGUAUGCAGAGGCUCAAGAAUAUUUGGAGCAUGCUAUUUCCAAGGUCUGUACAUUUGUGUCGCCUCUUCCAUUCUUUUCAAGAUAUUUGUUGAUGGCCAUCCAACGGAAGUUAAAUAUGCUGAUUUUGUAAUUCUUGCAUCUCAGUGGGCUGGUGCUGCCUGUAUACGGCAGGGGAAGAAUGCAGAAGGAAUGGUGCACCUAGAAAGAGUUGCAAGUUUAGAAGAGCCAGAGGAUCCAAAUAGCAAAGUACAUUAUUAUAACAGUUUGGUAUUCCUUGCAAGUGCUUUAGUCAACGAAGGUCGUAAAGCUGAAGCUCUGAAGUACCUACGCUUAGCUGUUGCUUAUAAUCCUGCUUACAAAGAAUUGCUAGAACAAUGUGAGAAUGAAGACGAAGAAUUUGGCAGUGAUCUUGUCAACAGCAGGAGAAGAGAUUAUUAACCUCUUGCAAUUUUACAAGAUAAUGUUCAUUCUUUUGCUUGAGUUGAUUCCUUUGAUUUAUCAUUGUACCUUAUAAUAAAACCAAUUGUUUUAAAGUUAUUUGACAUAAUAAUAAUAAUUUUGUUUUGUUGUUCUUA